UUAGUACGGCGAGUGAAGCGGUAAAAGCUCAAAUUUGAAAUCUGGUACUUUCAGUGCCCGAGUUGUAAUUUGUAGAAUUUGUCUUUGAUUAGGUCCUUGUCUAUGUUCCUUGGAACAGGACGUCAUAGAGGGUGAGAAUCCCGUUUGGCGAGGAUACCUUUUCUCUGUAAGACUUUUUCGAAGAGUCGAGUUGUUUGGGAAUGCAGCUCAAAGUGGGUGGUAAAUUCCAUCUAAAGCUAAAUAUUGGCGAGAGACCGAUAGCGAACAAGUACAGUGAUGGAAAGAUGAAAAGAACUUUGAAAAGAGAGUGAAAAAGUACGUGAAAUUGUUGAAAGGGAAGGGCAUUUGAUCAGACAUGGUGUUUUUUGCAUGCACUCGCCUCUCGUGGGCUUGGGCCUCUCAAAAAUUUCACUGGGCCAACAUCAAUUCUGGCAGCAGGAUAAAUCAUUAAGAAUGUAGCUACUUCGGUAGUGUUAUAGCUUUUUGGAAUACUGUUAGCCGGGAUUGAGGACUGCGCUUCGGCAAGGAUGUUGGCAUAAUGGUUAAAUGCCGCCCGUCUUGAACAAACGGAC
rnacentral:rRNA from 1 species